rnacentral:rRNA from 1 species
CCUACGGGGGGCUGCAGUGAGGAAUAUUGGUCAAUGGCCGAGAGGCUGAACCAGCCAAGUCGCGUGAGGGAAGACGGCCCUACGGGUUGUAAACCUCUUUUGUCGGGGAGCAAAGCGAACCACGUGUGGUUCAUUGAGAGUACCCGAAGAAAAAGCAUCGGCUAACUCCGUGCCAGCAGCCGCGGUAAUACGGAGGAUGCGAGCGUUAUCCGGAUUUAUUGGGUUUAAAGGGUGCGCAGGCGGAGGUGCAAGUCAGCGGUCAAAUUGCGGGGCUCAACCCCGUACUGCCGUUGAAACCGGAGCGCUAGAAUUCCGAUGCCGUCGGAGGAAUGUGUGGUGUAGCGGUGAAAUGCAUAGAUAUCACACAGAACACCGAUUGCGAAGGCAUCUGACGAAUCGGAGAUUGACGCUGAUGCACGAAAGCGUGGGUAUCGAACAGGAUUAGAUACCCGAGUAGUC